CCUGACGACGCAACGCCGCGUGGAGGAUGAAGGUCUUCGGAUUGUAAACUCCUGUUGCUCGGGACGAAAAGCUUCGACCUAACACGUCGAAGUCUGACGGUACCGAGUGAGGAAGCCCCGGCUAACUCUGUGCCAGCAGCCGCGGUAAUACAGAGGGGGCAAACGUUGUUCGGAAUUACUGGGCGUAAAGGGCGCGUAGGCGGCCUGCUAAGUCGAACGUGAAAUCCCUGGGCUCAACCCAGGAACUGCGUCCGAUACUGGUUGGCUUGAAUCCGGGAGAGGGACGUGGAAUUCCAGGUGUAGCGGUGAAAUGCGUAGAUAUCUGGAGGAACACCGGUGGCGAAGGCGACGUCCUGGACCGGCAUUGACGCUGAGGCGCGAAAGCCAGGGGAGCAAACGGGAUUAGAUACCCCGGUAGUCCUGGCCCUAAACGAUGAAUGCUUGGUGUGGUGGGUAUCGAUCCCUACCGUGCCGAAGCUAACGCAUUAAGCAUUCCGCCUGGGGAGUACGGUCGCAAGGCUG
rnacentral:rRNA from 1 species